rnacentral:rRNA from 1 species
CGUGAGUAACCUGCCUUGGAGUGGGGAAUAACACAUCGAAAGAUGUGCUAAUACCGCAUAAUGCAGUUGGGCCGCAUGGCUCUGACUGCCAAAGAUUUAUCGCUCUGAGAUGGACUCGCGUCUGAUUAGCUGGUUGGCGGGGUAACGGCCCACCAAGGCGACGAUCGGUAGCCGGACUGAGAGGUUGACCGGCCACAUUGGGACUGAGACACGGCCCAGACUCCUACGGAAGGCAGCAG